AUUGAACGCUGGCGGCAUGCCUUACACAUGCAAGUCGAACGGCAGCACGGGUGCUUGCACCUGGUGGCGAGUGGCGAACGGGUGAGUAAUACAUCGGAACGUACCUUAUCGUGGGGGAUAACGCAGCGAAAGCUGUGCUAAUACCGCAUACGCCCUGAGGGGGAAAGCGGGGGAUCGCAAGACCUCGCGCGAUUAGAGCGGCCGAUGCCUGAUUAGCUUGUUGGUGGGGUAAAAGCCCACCAAGGCGACGAUCAGUAGCUGGUCUGAGAGGACGAUCAGCCACACUGGGACUGAGCCGCGGCCCAGACUCCUACGGGAGGCAGCAGUGGGGAAUUUUGGACAAUGGGGGCAACCCUGAUCCAGCAAUGCCGCGUGAGUGAAGAAGGCCUUCGGGUUAUAAAGCUCUUUUGUCAGGGAAGAAACACCGGCUCUAACACAGUCCGGGAAUGACGGUACCUGAAGAAUAAGCACCGGCUAACUACGUGCCAGCAGCCGCCGUAA
rnacentral:rRNA from 1 species